rnacentral:ncRNA from 1 species
AAUAAAUUUUUUAUAGUUUAAAAAAUUUAUAAUAAAUUUGUUUUACAUGUAAAUUUUAGUGUUAGUUUUUUAUUAUUUUAAUAAUAUUUAAAUUAUUAAUGUAGUAAUUAAUAUUAAAAAUUUAAGAAAUUAAGAUUUAGCAUUAUAAAAAUUAUUAACUAAUUUUGUGCCAGCAGUUGCGGUUAUACAAAAAAUAAGUUAAAUUUUUUUAGUAAUUAAUUAUUAAUUGUGUGAUUUAAUUAAAAAUUUAAAUUAUUAGGUGAAAUUUUAAUUUAAAAAAAAAUUAUUAAAAUUUUAUGAUUGUUAAUAAAUUUUAUUAAAAACUAGGAUUAGAUACCCUAUUAUUAAAAAUUUAAUUGAAAUACUAAAAUAGUAGAUAAUUAUUUAUUAAAACUUAAAUAAUUUGGCGGUAUUUUAGUUCAUUUAGAGGAAUCUGUUUAUUAAUUGAUAUUCCACGAAUGAAUUUACUUAAUUUAAAAGUUUAUAUAUCGUUGUUAAAAAAAUAUUUUCAAAUAAAAAUAAUAUUUAAAAAUUUUUAUAAAAAAUUAAAUCAGAUCAAGAUGUAGUUUAUAGUUAAGAAUAUAAUGGAUUACAAUAAAUUUAUUUAUAUGAAUUUUAAUUUGAAAUAAUUAGAUAAAAGUGGAUUUAACUGUAAUUUUUUUUUAAUAUUGGAAAAAUGAUUAAAAAUUAAAAUAUGUACAUAUUGCCCGUCACUUUCAUUAAAAAAUUGAAAUAAGUCGUAACAAAGUAGGGGUACUGGAAAGUGUUCCUAGAAAGAU